rnacentral:rRNA from 1 species
CCUACGGGAGGCAGCAGUGGGGAAUAUUGCGCAAUGGGCGAAAGCCUGACGCAGCGACGCCGCGUGAGGGAUGAAGGUUCUCGGAUCGUAAACCUCUGUCAGAAGGGAAGAAACCGCACCGUGCUAAUCAGCGGUGCAUUGACGGUACCUUCAAAGGAAGCACCGGCUAACUCCGUGCCAGCAGCCGCGGUAAUACGGAGGGUGCAAGCGUUAAUCGGAAUUACUGGGCGUAAAGCGCACGUAGGCUGCUUUGUAAGUCAGGGGUGAAAUCCCACGGCUCAACCGUGGAACUGCCUUUGAUACUGCUUAGCUUGAAUCCGGGAGAGGGUGGCGGAAUUCCAGGUGUAGGAGUGAAAUCCGUAGAUAUCUGGAGGAACAUCAGUGGCGAAGGCGGCCACCUGGACCGGUAUUGACGCUGAGGUGCGAAAGCGUGGGGAGCAA